ensembl:lncRNA
CACCACAUCUGCCGAAAGCACAGAGAAAUAUUUCUUCAUUUUGAAAAUAAUGUAGAUGUAAAAUAAAUGAACGCGAUCUCGCUAAAGCAUGCUCCAAAAAAGAACCGCAUGAAAGUCGACCCAUUUCUCAAUAACACAAAUGGGAGCAGAAAAACCAAAAACCUCUCCUCUUGGAAUAUUAUGGUCUACGUUAGGAGGCAGAAAGCGCAGGGAACUAAAACUAAUUAAUUUCAGGACCAAGUGACCCUCCUGUGAAAGCCUGCGGCUGUUACAAUGCUGCUUCCAUUCGCAUCUUCUCCACCCCUCCCCAUUCAUCCAUUCAUCUGGUUAACUCUGGAUUGCCCUGCCAAGACCAGUUCAGUCUGGGAUAGCGCACAAACCAUGAUCGGCUCGUCACAUUUUUUUUUCUUUUUGUUUUUGUAAGCACGAGCCAGCAGUGAUGAAGACCUCGGAGUCAGCGGUGACUGAUUGCGCACGGUCAGUCAGUCAAGGUGCUUAAAUUUUGUGCCUGACUGUGGUGGAUCGAUACCUCUAAGACCCAUAUUCUACGUGGAAGGCGUGGCUUGGUGUCAUCUACACAGGCUGACUUUUCCAUAUUCAUCCCUAGGUUUUUUUUUUUCUUUCUUUUUUUCCCCCUCGUCUCACUGACGCGCAAUCGGCACCCAACGGCACGGGGCAUAAAUCGUCUCGCAAGGUAAGCCGCCUUCAUCUUUUCAAGCUCUCUUAUACUGUGAGAUGUUAAAUUCGCCCGCAAGGUCAAAUCAAACCAGCAAGCAUCGGUGGCUUCUGAGGCGCUGAAUUGGGGCAAGAGGCUACAGUGCACGACAUGGAUCUUAAUUGGCCUGAAUAGAUCGUGUGCACCGCUUGCAUGCGGGAUCUUUCAUGUGCGCCGUUUUGCAUGAAUACAGUCUGUACGUAGUCUGUCCACACUUACGGUUAUUUCUUAACUGCACUGGCAAAAGAAGAAGAAGAAGUAGAAGAAAAGGGAACACAAAAAAGCCCAGACACCGAGGCGUUUAUUUGUCAUAUAUUUAAUAACACCCAGGAUAUGCUUUCCAUAAAUAUUUGCGCUUUGACAACAGACAGACAGAUGCAUAGUGGCAGAGCACAAACAACCCGGCUACACCUGUCCAUGACCCACACCAGUAACCUACUAUUCUGUGCUGUUCGAGUCACACGUUGGGGGGGGUGCUCUAUAGGGCUACCGAGUGCGUCAGAUUAUCA